UACGUAGGGUCCAAGCGUUGUCCGGAUUUAUUGGGCGUAAAGAGCUCGUAGGCGGUUUCGUAAGUCGGAUGUGAAAACUCAGGGCUCAACCCGGAGACGCCAUCUGAUACUGCGAUGACUUGAGUCUGGUAGGGGAACACGGAAUUCCUGGUGUAGCGGUGAAAUGCGCAGAUAUCAGGAGGAACACCGAUGGCGAAGGCAGUGUUCUGGGCCAGUACUGACGCUGAGGAGCGAAAGCGUGGGGAGCAAACAGG
rnacentral:ncRNA from 4 species